GAAUUGAUGCCUGAGCGGUCUAUAGGAGCGGACUGUAACUCCGUCGAUUAUUAAAAAUCUUCAUCAGUUCAAAUCUGAUUCAAUUCA
rfam:Eimeria tenella Houghton genomic scaffold, Eth_scaff37